GUGCCAGCCGCCGCGGUAACACCGGCAGCCCAAGUGAUGGCCGAUAUUAUUGGGCCUAAAGCGUCCGUAGCUGGCCGCGCAAGUUCGUCGGGAAAUCCACUCGCUUAACGAGUGGGCGUCCGGCGAAAACUGUGCAGCUUGGGACCGGAAGAUCCAAGGGGUACGUCCGGGGUAGGAGUGAAAUCCCGUAAUCCUGGACGGACCACCGAUGGCGAAAGCACCUUGGAAGGACGGAUCCGACAGUGAGGGGCGAAAGCCAGGGUCUCCAACCGGAUUAGAAACCCUUGUAGUCC
rnacentral:rRNA from 1 species